AAAAACUUAAAUAAUUUAAAAGAUAGUGUGAUACAUAAACUACCUUGCCGCAUCGUGUGCUUACGGAGACUUGAUAAAGUCAUGAUUUGUGGACAAUUAAGCUCUGUUAGAAGCUUCUUGCAACCAUAAAUCAAAGGUUGAAGAAUAAGGUUAGGGAUGGAUGGAUUUGUAAUCAAAGCAAAUAAAUUUUUAAAAUUAUAUGAAUUAAUCAAAUUAAAUUUAAAAUUUAUAUAUCGGUUUUCUUAGACAUAUAUAAAAAAAAAAUUAGGUUAUCUAACCUAUUUAUUUUAACAAAUUUCUGAUGACAUUUUAAUAUAAAAUUUUGUUGUUUCUUCUGACAUUUUAAUAGAUUCAUUAGUUGCAUUGAAUAUUACGUGACCAGGUAAAUAGUGCAUUCCACUUUUAUCAAAGUAGAACAAUAAUAAUUUAAAACAAGAAAAAAAAUGGGACAACGAAUCAUGGUAACAGCUAAAGUAAUGAAGAGGAGCGCUUUUGAAAGGGUCUGUUGGCAAACUAACAUCAUUACAUUCUUCUUCAGAAUAAAUUAAAGCGAACCUUGAAAAAGAGAAAGAUCAAGGACAAAAAAAAUUACGUUUAUAUAUAAAAAAACUGUUGAUAGUUUCUUUAGGUGUCGUAGAUGGGGGAAAGCUGAAUGAAGAAUAAAAGGUAAGGAAACCUAGAUUUGCAGUUAGAAAGUCAGGCUAGAGAAUGUUGGAGUUGGUUUUUUCUAACGUUUUUCAACGCUUAAAUUAAUGAGGUAUUAGAGUUUAAAAAGAAGAGAGAUGAAGUGUAUUGAAAAAAUUACAAUGAAAAAAAUUUAUUUAGGUUUUACAUAUUUAAAUUUCGAUUUUACUUUAUAUAUGAGAUAGGGAUGAAAAAUUCAUUGGGGAAAUUGAUAAUUA
rnacentral:lncRNA from 1 species